GACGAACGCUGGCGGCGUGCUUAACACAUGCAAGUCGAGCGAUGAAGCACCUUCGGGUGUGAAUUAGCGGCGAACGGGUGAGGAACACGUGAGAAAUCUGCCUUCAACACUGGGAUAACUCCGGGAAACCGGGGCUAAUACCGGAUAUGAAACCUGCGGGCAUCCGCGGGUUUGGAAAGUUUUUCGGUUGAAGAUGAUCUCGCGGCCUAUCAGCUUGUUGGUGAGGUAAUGGCUCACCAAGGCGACGACGGGUAGCCGGCCUGAGAGGGCGACCGGCCACACUGGGGCUGAGACACGGCCCAGACUCCUACGGGAGGCAGCAGUGGGGAAUAUUGGGCAAUGGAGGAAACGCUGACCCAGCGACGCCGCGUGCGGGAUGAAGGCCUUCGGGUUGUAAACCGCUUUCAGCAGGGAAGAAGCGAAAGUGACGGUACCUGCAGAAGAAGCACCGGCUAACUAUGUGCCAGCAGCCGCCGCCG
rnacentral:rRNA from 1 species